GAUCGGCUCGUCCCGCACCAAAGCUUGUCUUCUGUGUAACGAGACCUCAAAAACACAGCAGAUGCAUAUCCCAAGACUGGGAGCGCAAUGAAGAAGCAAAAAUGACAGAAUGGAAAAAGUCAAUUUCUGCAGAUCAGGCCUGUCCAGCAACAUUUCUACUUUCAGUCUGCUCAAUGCAAAGGAAUGGGGACUGUCGUCAGUCUGCAACACUUCCUCCCUCCUGCUCCUCCAUGGUCACUCUCUGUUCCUGUUCCAGCAUGGAUCCCUCCGAUGGGAUGCUGUCCUUCCCAAACUGAUCCUGUAUGGGUUUCCCACAGGCUGAAGCUCUUCAAGAACUGCCUGGAGCACCUCCUGCCCUCUUUCUCCGCUGACCUUAGUGACUACACAGUUGUUUCUCAUUUCCUCAUUCUGCUGUCCCCAACUGCUGUUGCACAGUAGCUUUUUUUCCCUAAAUCUGCUCUCCCAGAGGCACACCCAGCACUGCUCAUUGGCUCAGCUCUGGCCAUUGGUGUGUCCCUUUAGGAGCUGGCUCUGAUCUGACAUGGGGCAGUUCCUGGGCUCUUCUCACAAAGGGUGUCCCUGCAGCCCCCCGCUACCAAAAUCUUGCCACAUAAUCCCAGCAUGCUUGCAUUUUGUUUUCAGACACAAAUAUAACAUCCUAUAUGAAAUUAUUGCUAUUCUGGUUACAUGAGAUAUCCAGUUCUUCCAUUCUAAAGUCCAUUUGUGCUGUAGAGAACAUGUAGGGAUUGUGAAUGUACCCGUAAGUACCAUUCCACAGUUGAACUAAUUGUCAGGCCAAGCAAGGGACCACAGUAAAUGGGUGAAUAAUUUGAUCCAAGAUGGAUUUGUACUCUACCACACAGCCUGAAAUCUUCUAAUGCUUUUGGAUUUGACUGUGAGCUGUUCAUUGUUGUUUGAGCCUGUUACUUUCUAUUACCGUAUUUUCUCUGGAUAUCAUUUGUGUACCUUAUCUUUGUAUAAAAGGCCUCAUCUCUACCAUAUUUCUGGGGAGUAGUCUGUAGAAGCAUACAAAAUUUACUGCUGUAGACCAAAAUAUGACAGAUAAAGGUAGUACAUUACAAAGUCCUUGCCCUCAAUCAAGCAGAAGGCUGCCUAUGCUUCUGUGAGCAGUGGUACAUAUGUGACUACCCUGUAAGGGGAGAAGAGUUAAUGGCAAACUAAGACAUCUUCUGCAGCAAAAGCAGAGGGAGUCUUCACUAAGCAAUUGCCUUUUAUGUAAUAAACAAUGUCAUGUGUGCAGUGGUCAAUAAAGGGUGUUUUCUUGCCCUAAUCUCCUUCCAUUCAACUUAAAAUAAAAAUGCUAUUAGUCUGACUAGCAGGCUGAUGUAUUCUGAAUCCUGACCAUAGAUGUUUUGCAUGUUGAAUUUAUGCUGCUAGCAGAGGUGUUACUGCAGCAGCCUUUGUCUUUCCUUUCAUUGAAUAAAAUACAGUAAAUAAACUUAGACUAUAACUUCAGUGGUGUUAGGUAUGUUUGGCAGAUUUGUCUCUUUAUAUAAUGCAGUUUCUUUGCAAUACAGCAUACACUGCUUUUUAUUACAGGCAAUUUUAGCUUCUUUUGACUGAAAAUUGAGCUCUAAUUACUAAUGAGUACUUUCUAAAAUAAUUUAAUCUUAGGAAAGAAUGCACGUAACAUAAUUGUUAAAUAUCUACUGGCAAGAUAGGUAGCUUGUGUUUUCACUAACCCUUAAAGGAGGUUAAGGUUUGAUAACUCAAGAGAAAUGGCAAAAGCCAUGAUACAUGAUUAAAGUAAUUAAGAAUUGAAAGAUUAUGACAGCAUAUCUGUGUUUCUUUGUAGAAGCCUUGACUUUCAAGGCAUGUGAUUUCUUUUCCUCAUGGAUGUGUUGAAUUUUUUGGUACAGAACAGCCACAUAAAUGAAUGUUCCAUAGCUGAAAAUCUCCAUGUCAGUUAAAGGAAACAGGAAGGGCCAGAGCUUCAAGGCAGUGCACUGGUAGUUGUUUCUGUGCUGCAAAUAAAUUGUGUCCAUCUCCUGUUCUUUCUAGUGAAAUGCAGA